UGGGUAGGGGAGCAUUGUCACAGCGUAGAAGGAUAACUGUAAGGUUUACUGGAGUGGUGACAAGAGAGAAUGCCGGUAUGAGUAUGCGAAAAGGAAGGUGAGAAUCCUUCCCGCCGAAAAUCUAAGGUUUCCUGGGGAAGGCUCGUCCGCCCAGGGUAAGUCGGGACCUAAGCUGAGGCCGAAAGGCGUAGGCGAUGGACAAUUGGUUGAAAUUCCAAUACCACCAUAAAUCGUUUGAGCGAUGGGGUGACACAGGAGGAUGACCUGAGCGUGCUGUUGGUUAUGCACGUCCAAACAUCAAGUGGGUGCUGUAGGCAAAUCCGCAGCGCUAAACCGUGAGAUGUGAUGGGGAGCGAAAAUAAGUAGCGAAGCGGGAUAGUUCAUACUGUCAAGAAAAGCCUCUAGUGAGAAAUGUGGUGCCCGUACCGCAAACCGACACAGGUAGAUGAGGAGAGAAUCCUAAGGCGCGCGAGAAAACCCUCGUUAAGGAACUCGGCAAAAUGACCCCGUAACUUCGGGAGAAGGGGUGCUCUGGCAACAGAGCCGCAGAGAAAUAGUCCAGGCGACUGUUUAACAAAAACACAGGUCCCUGCAAAUCCGUAAGGAGAAGUAUAGGGGCUGACGCCUGCCCGGUGCUGGAAGGUUAAGAGGAGAAGUUAGCGCAAGCGAAGCCUUGAAUUGAAGCCCCAGUAAACGGCGGCCGUAACUAUAACGGUCCUAAGGUAGCGAAAUUCCUUGUCGGGUAAGUUCCGACCCGCACGAAAGGCGUAACGAUCUGGACACUGUCUCAACGAGGGACUCGGCGAAAUUGUAAUACCCGUGAAGAUGCGGGUUACCUGCGACAGGACAGAAAGACCCCAUGGAGCUUUACUGCAGCUUGACAUUGGAUUUUGGUAUAAAAUGUACAGGAUAGGUGGGAGGCUUGGAAGCCAGUACGCCAGUAUUGGUGGAGCCGCCGGUGGGAUACCACUCUUUUUGUACUGAAGUUCUAACCUAGGCCCCUGAAUCGGGGUUGGGGACAGUGUCAGGCGGGCGGUUUGACUGGGGCGGUCGCCUCCUAAAGAGUAACGGAGGCGCCCAAAGGUUCCCUCAGCGCGGAUGGAAAUCGCGCGAAGAGUGUAAAGGCAAAAGGGAGCUUAACAGAGAGACAAACAAGUCGACCUGGUACGAAAGUAGGGCUUAGUGAUCCGGUGGUUCCGAGUGGAAGGGCCAUCGCUCAACGGAUAAAAGCUACCCUGGGGAUAACAGGCUUAUCUCCCCCAAGAGUUCACAUCGACGGGGAGGUUUGGCACCUCGAUGUCGGCUCAUCGCAUCCUGGGGCUGUAGUAGGUCCCAAGGGUUGGGCUGUUCGCC
rnacentral:rRNA from 1 species